UACGUAGGGACCAAGCGUUGUCCGGAAUCAUUGGGCGUAAAGAGCGUGUAGGCGGCCAUACAGGUCAGCUGUGAAAACUCGAGGCUCAACCUCGAGACGUCGGUUGAAACCGUAUGGCUAGAGUCCGGAAGAGGAGAGUGGAAUUCCCGGUGUAGCGGUGAAAUGCGCAGAUAUCGGGAAGAACACCUAUGGCGAAGGCAGCUCUCUGGGACGGUACUGACGCUGAGACGCGAAAGCGUGGGGAGCGAACAGG
rnacentral:rRNA from 1 species